rnacentral:rRNA from 1 species
UACGAAGGGGGCUAGCGUUGCUCGGAAUUAUUGGGCGUAAAGGGUGCGUAGGCGGGUCUUUAAGUCAGGGGUGAAAUCCUGGAGCUCAACUCCAGAACUGCCUUUGAUACUGAAGAUCUUGAGUUCGGGAGAGGUGAGUGGAACUGCGAGUGUAGAGGUGAAAUUCGUAGAUAUUCGCAAGAACGCCAGUGGCGAAGGCGGCUCACUGGCCCGAUACUGACGCUGAGGCACGAAAGCGUGGGAGCAAACAGGG